AACAUCUGGAUGGUUUUUUUGUUUGUGCUGGAAUUUCCUUCUCUUCUCUUCCACCAGGCUAUGGACUCUGGAAGAGAGAGGUUGACUUCAUGCAACUCUGCAGCUCUUCAACCCAAUUCACAUUGGAGACAAGAUCUUGCCCCAUGAUGUUGCUAAUCCUCUUUGAAGACAAAGGAUGAACAACAACCAUUAGGUAUCAGGUGCUAUGGCAGGUGGCUGGGAAUACAAACAUAAUGAAUGAAAGAACCCUGGCUCACAAAGUGCUUACUUACAUCCUAAUGGAAGAAGAAAGUCCAUGUAUAAGUAAGAAUAUAAAGGAUAACUAUAAAGAGAAUAAAUAUGAAGCAAUUCAGUUGAAGGGAAUUAAGGAGGAAGAAAAAACUAUACAUUUUGUGAGAUGGAAAUCAAAAAAAGCUUCACAGAGAAGGUCGUGUUUGGGCUGCAUUUUGAAGAAAGAAAGAGGUUCUCUAAGGCAGAGACAAGCUAGUCCAGACUUUGAACCAGCUAGUUCUUCUGACCUCUCCCAUCCCAUUCUAGCAAAUUAUCCUGCCAAUUAUGGUUUUCUCUGGUAGUCUUCAGGGACUCUCCACUUGAUCCAAGUCUAUCAGCAUUUCUGUCAACUUUAUUGCCAUGCCCAAAAUAGUGACCCAGCUUCUCCUCCCUCCAUAGUAUGGUUCUUCCUUACCUUGAUCCAAUUUGCUAAGUUGUGGAAACAGACAAAUUGAGUGUAAAGGCCACUGCUGGGGUUAGCACAUGAAGAAGACUGAGUCAUAAUGACACCUUGAACCCAGCUAGGAUCAGUUCUUUGGCAACUGGGAAUUAAAGUUUGAAAGUGUGUAAUUAUGAUCUGCUCCCCAGAAACUCUCUCUCCCAGCAUUCCAUGUUCCUUCUCACGUUAUGUGCUAACGUAGGGAGGAUAUAAGUUUUGUGUACCCCACCUCUCGAUCUCUUCUCCCCUGAUCAUGCUGGCUUUUUGCCAGGCAGGUGAAUCUAUACAUGUGGG
rnacentral:lncRNA from 1 species